AUUGAACGCUGGCGGCAGGCCUAACUCAUGCAAGUCGAACGGCAGCACAGAAGAGCUUGCUCUUUGGGUGGCGAGUGGCGGACGGGUGAGUAAUGUCUGGGAAACUGCCCGAUGGAGGGGGAUAACUACUGGAAACGGUAGCUAAUACCGCAUAACGUCGCAAGACCAAAGUGGGGGACCUUCGGGCCUCACACCAUCGGAUGUGCCCAGAUGGGAUUAGCUAGUAGGUGGGGUAAUGGCGCACCUAGGCGACGAUCCCUAGCUGGUCUGGGGGGAUGACCAGCCACACGGGAAAUGGGAGACGGUCCAGGCUGCUACGGGAGGCAGCAGUGGGGAAUAUUGCACAAUGGGCGCAAGCCUGAUGCAGCCAUGCCGCGUGUAUGAAGGAGGCCUUCGGGUUGUAAAGUACUUUCAGCGGGGAGGAAGGCGGUGAGGUUAAUAACCUUGCCGAUUGACGUUACCCGCAGAAGAAGCACCGGCUAACUCCGUGCCAGCAGCCGCCGUAAGAC
rnacentral:rRNA from 1 species